UUCGGAGAAGGAAAUCUGAUUCUCCUUUCUAGAUGAGAAAGAACAGCCCUCACUUUGGAUGCUCCCCUGCAUUUGAGGGACACAUAUUCUGGCUCAUGAGUUGGGGGAAGACGUCUGGCAGAGGUGUGGGACUCAGAUGAAGCAGUCGCAGACCACUGCACUAGGGAGAAGGGACACCAGCUGCCCAGCAACCUCCAGGAUCGCACUGUGCCCGGCCUCAAUUCCCACCUGAGAAACACAGGAGGGCACCGAGAAAAUCACCUUGGCAGUUCCAGGCUUUCACCCAGCUGAGACUGAAAGUGACAGGAAGAGACUUCAAGAGGUGAGG